GGCAAGCGUUGUCCGGAAUCACUGGGCGUAAAGGGCGCGUAGGCGGCUUGAUAAGUAGGGUGUGAAAUCCUGCGGCUUAACCGCAGGGCUGCCUUCUAAACUGUCAGGCUAGAGCACAGUAGAGGCAGGUGGAAUUCCCGGUGUAGCGGUGGAAUGCGUAGAGAUCGGGAAGAACAUCAGUGGCGAAGGCGGCCUGCUGGGCUGUUGCUGACGCUGAGGCGCGACAGCGUGGGGAGCAAACAGG
rnacentral:rRNA from 1 species